rnacentral:rRNA from 1 species
AUUAGAGUUUGAUCCUGGCUCAGGACGAACGCUGGCGGCGUGCCUAACACAUGCAAGUCGAGCGACGAAACCCCUUCGGGGGUGGAUUAGCGGCGGACGGGUGAGUAACACGUGGGUAACCUGCCUCAAAGUGGGGGAUAGCCUUCCGAAAGGAAGAUUAAUACCGCAUAAAGCCAAGUUUCACAUGGAAUUUGGAUGAAAGGAGUAAUUCGCUUUGAGAUGGACCCGCGGCGCAUUAGUUAGUUGGUGGGGUAAUGGCCUACCAAGACAGCGAUGCGUAGCCGACCUGAGAGGGUGAUCGGCCACAUUGGAACUGAGAUACGGUCCAGACUCCUACGGGAGGCAGCAGUGGGGAAUAUUGCACAAUGGGCGAAAGCCUGAUGCAGCAACGCCGCGUGAGUGAUGAAGGUCUUCGGAUUGUAAAGCUCUGUCUUUUGGGACGAUAAUGACGGUACCAAAGGAGGAAGCCACGGCUAACUACGUGCCAGCAGCCGCGGUAAUACGUAGGUGGCAAGCGUUGUCCGGAUUUACUGGGCGUAAAGGGUGCGUAGGCGGAUGUUUAAGUGAGAUGUGAAAUACCCGGGCUUAACUUGGGUGCUGCAUUUCAAACUGGAUAUCUAGAGUGCAGGAGAGGAGAAUGGAAUUCCUAGUGUAGCGGUGAAAUGCGUAGAGAUUAGGAAGAACACCAGUGGCGAAGGCGAUUCUCUGGACUG